AUGCCCUUGAAUGAAUUGGAAUCAAAUGGCUAGUCAGUUGCAAUGGACGAAGGGCCUCUUCUCAGCAGUGCAAAGCUCUUCCCAUAGGCAGUGCUUGGGUUCCAGAAGCCUCUGAGGAUUCUCUCACCUGACUCAUCGCCCUUGACUGCCAGGCUGGACUGGCCAACUCAGGGUUCAUGUCCCAGCCAGUUGCAGAAAAAGGAGUUGGAUCAGAAAGUCCACAGGGAUGGCCUACUUCAAAGACAAGGGAUGGGAAGAGUUUGGUUCCCCACUCUAUCUCCAAGGCCAGGCAUUGAGCAGGUGCUCAGCGGCCAACUGGAUCUCUUACCGUGGUUAGGGGUGCCGUCCACAUAUACCGACGACUCUCGUGAUUUCCUGGUUUGAACUAGUUCUCUUGGCUUCAUCGGAGGGGUGGUUCGAGUGGCUCCCUACAAAGGGAUCACCUCGCAAUCAAACUACCUGCCCUCAAACCCUGCUUCUGCCUUCGGAGAGACCCAAACAAGGGCCUGAAACAAGGAGCUCUACACACAUUGGAUGAUCUCAUGUCAUCUUUAUCUUCACGUAGCAUUAUGAG